rnacentral:rRNA from 1 species
UACGUAGGGUGCGAGCGUUGUCCGGAUUUAUUGGGCGUAAAGAGCGUGUAGGCGGCCAGGUAGGUCCGUUGUGAAAACUCGAGGCUCAACCUCGAGACGUCGGCGGAAACCAUCUGGCUAGAGUCCGGAAGAGGAGAGUGGAAUUCCUGGUGUAGCGGUGAAAUGCGCAGAUAUCAGGAAGAACACCCGUGGCGAAGGCGGCUCUCUGGGACGGUACUGACGCUGAGACGCGAAAGCGUGGGGAGCAAACAGG